CAUUAAGAAGCUAAAUUGGGUAUAAGCAUUAGCCUUUUAAGCUAAAAAUUGGUGACUCCCUAUCACCCUUAAUGA
rnacentral:tRNA from 1 species